UAUGAAGGUAAUGAGUCAGGAAGCAUUGUUUACGAAUGUUUGUAUUUGUGUUGUGAAAUAGAAAGUUGCGCUGUUUCGUUUGUGCUUAUGUGCAUGCGUUCGUGUAGUGCAGAUCCCCUUGUGUUUUGUGUUGACAAAAUGACAAGAUCGAUGGCAUUUUCCACUGACGUGUGAAAAGCAGCUGUUCAACGCGCUCCUUCGUCAGCUUGCUCGACAUCUCAGACUCGGCUAGCACUACUGUGCGAACAGUGAGCAGGGUGAAGAUACUGAUACAUAAUAUCAAGUUGCGAGUGCGCUCUCAAAUAUUGCAGAACAUACCCAGGACGCACAGGACAGAGUAAUUAUAGCUUUUUCGCUGCUUCUAACAGUGCGAUCAAGAAACAUAGCAUAUUCAGGUAUGACUUGCUUAGUUCUGUGUCUCAAUACUAAGGCUUACAAAUUUCCACAUUGUGUGUUCCUCAAAUGAAGCACAAAAUUUUCGGCAUCAAGGUAUUUAACAGUACUUACAAUGCCAUUAAUUUCGUUAUCUCCCAACGCUGAUGUUACCGAGGUCUGCUUCUAGGGUAAUUUCGUUUAAUAGGCAGGCUGAUUCGGGCGUAGCCUGUUCUAUUGCCUAAAGAAGUGACUAGUCUGUUCAGCUUCCCUAUACAUAUUUGUUGUCGAUAAAAGUGUGAGAUGGCUGAUGGGUUUCUUCACUUUCACCGUAGAAUUUUCUGGUGAAGAACCAAAGCUUUUAACAUUUGAGGAUACCAGAAAGAAGUUCAUUUCUCCGGGCAGCAGCGACUGGUGCGAAAAAAAUUGCUCUUCGAGGUCCCAUAUUUACGUGAAAAGAUGAGUGACGUGGCCUGCUAAUCAGUUUCACCUGAGAAACUGAGAAUUUUACGAGCGCUCAUGAAGGACAAAGUAGCAACCUCCUCCAGCUCACAGUGAGGCAAGGGGACGAUGAAGUUCUGCGACCUGUUAUGCUGUGAUUAAGUAUUAAAAUAUGUGUUUGCAUAUUCUGUAUAUCUGACUUGUCACCUGUGUUUCUGAAGCCAAGUCACGUUUUUAAUUAUAGGCACUGUAAUGCCAAACCGGCUGCUCAAGGACGUGACCCGCAGUAAAGGAGAGCAGCACAUAAAGUCCUGGCUGAGGCACGCCAAAGAACCUCAUGACAGGACGUCGACAAAAGAUAAGGGCUCGGAGUACUACACAGAACAGCAGCGACAGCUGGGCCAAUCCGUGCGAAACUCUUCAGGCCUAGCUUUGAGCCUAGAUUUCACGAGAGAAAAAAAUGUGCAUUCUCUGAGAGUGUGGUAGAUACACAUUUCUUUCCUCUGUAUAUUUGGCUCCAGACUGAGGGCUAUGCAGGUGUUGCCUUCAAAAUGAAAAGUGUUAUGCCAUUGUCAUCUCCAUGCAAUACACAUCGACAAUAUUAAUGGGUUUUCGUUAAUGUAUAAUGUUGGACAAAAAAAAUUCAGCUCAUGAAACAGAAGGUGGGAUUAUCUUAAAGUUUAUUCUGUGUAGAGAGCUCGGGAGCAGACCAUAAUUGUGACAAAUAGUUAAUAACUUUUUGGUGAGGAUAAUAAACUUGAUUGUGAAUAAUAAUAAUACGUAAAGACAACUCGAAUAUUGUUCGAGUUGUCUGCGUGUUCAUGUGUAUUGGAAGGUGACGACAAUAGAGCUAGAUAUAACUUUGCAACGUAGAAGGCCGCACAUAUAGGGUGUUUCACCUCUCGUGAUAAAUUCUAACCGUAGACGUACACGCCGUAUAGGAUUGUGGGAUUUUUGGCAAUUACCCUCUGGCAACUUUUGCAGACACUUUGGCUUUGCUGACGGCUUUCGACAAUUUUUAAUUGACGGAAAUUUAUGUUUUCAAUCAAAUUAAGAAAAUUGCCAAGCACACCCCUAUUUUUUAACAGAAAUAUGAAGUGGCCUUCGGAUGACCGCAGACCCAACAAAACCUAUGCGCAGUAUUAACAGAAACGGUCGAAAAAAGUAAAAGUGAUGCUUUAGUCCUGCCGACUUGAUUGUUGCAAAAAGCCAGCAGAUUAGUUGCAGGGAAGAAGUAUCCGCGCCUCUUGCUUUACCUUUCUUUUCCCUGGUUUGACCUUGAUGCACAAAGAAACGAAAAAAAAUCAAGGUGGGAACACUUCUUCCUCUUCCCGCACAUUUUGCGCACGGUUUUUGCAACAAUAAAGCAGGUGGGGCUAUAGCAGCACUUUUGCUAAGACUUUUCAACUAUUUCAGUCACUAUACUGUGCAUAGUUUUCGUUACGUCUGCGGUUAUUCGUAGGAUCGCUUGGCAAUUCUCAAAGUUUUUCAUUGAAAAGAUCCCUGAAUUAAAAAUUGUCCAAAGCUUUCCAGAAUGGCAGCAAAAGAUUCCAGAAGGUAAUUGCAGAAAGUGCCACAAUCCUCCUGCAGGUACGUUGCCAAUAGAAUCGUUAAUCACUUUAGGUGAAGCGCCCUCUAUGUAUACGUUCAUAAAAAAAGCAAAAAAGAAACACCAGGAAUUUUCCUUGCAUAUGUGACCCUUCGGAGACUGCACUUGUUUCAAGCAAACUCCAAAGAGGCCAAAUUACACCUCUGCUUAUUUUCCGCAACCUGAUUACUAGACAUGAUGGUGCGUUUAUUUCAUUCAUGAGCAUGUUGUGUCAUCCGGAACUGCUCAGAAUGUUUGAAAUUCCAUGCUAUAUUUUACAGCUGCUAUUGCAGCUCUUGUAGUGUUAUCUUGAACGCCCAAACUGGGCUCCUUACAUUUCAUCUUGGCCGAGGCCAACUGUAGACUACAGAAGAAUGAAGUGUGAAGUGCCCUAUAGAUGACGUUAUUCAUUUUAUUCAUCUAUGUAUUUUGUAAAGACUGCACUUGGCUCGCAUUGUCAUAUCGGACUCCUGAUACAUGUUUCUUGUUCGGGUUGUUUGUUACGCGACCACGCUGUCCAGAAGGGAGUAAAUAAGGUUCUCUUUGAAGUGAUUGGUAUUUUUGUGCAUAUUAUUGUAGCCAAAUAAUGUUCAUCGGCUCAGUUAAAGACUCAAAUAUCUGUAUCAGGAAUUGUGAAAAAUGGUUUUGCUCAAAUGACAAAGGUGGAAGGCACUUUUGAAGGCUCGUAGUACAACUUACCUCGACUGAAAUGACGAAUUUCUACAUGAAUCUGAUGUGUAUUGCACGGAAGUGGCUUUGUGGUGUUUGCUCAUUUUUGCUAGGAGGUGCUUCGAACCAAUUAUGUGAUGACGGCGUUUGCUAGGUGCUACAGCGCAUUAAUGCGAUGACAUUAUUUACUCAUUUAUGCUGAAUGGUGCUUCAGCCCAUUGAUGUAGUGACGUUAAAUAACAGCACCAAUGUGAUGAUCCUUUAGUUCCAUAUGUCAUGUGUACAUUUACAGAGCCUUUUCUAGAUAGAGGGAUGCCAUUUUCGGUCCAAAUAAGCAUAUCGACUAUUUGUUUAGCGUUAUGAAUAUUUCUAACUGCUGGCGCAAGAAUCGUUCGGCUUUUCCCUGCAUACAAGGCAAAGUGUGGUCUGACCCUGUGAGCCAUCCAGCCACCAUUAAUUCCGAAGCACCCCUUGUGGGCUUAAUGACUGAGAACACAGUUUCUGCUCGUCACUGCUAUAUGCAGACUACAAAUUGAUUUCACCUCUCAGCAGCUUCAGAUGUAGGUGUGAUGCAGAGCUUUUCUAGAGCUUUUAUGCGUUCAUGCAUUGAGCACUUAUCUGCUUUGUUAUCAUCCAAGUCAAAUGUCAUUUUCUUUUUAUGCAUAUUGUGUAGUAUUUAACAUUGUGUAGCUAUACAUCACUUGAAGUUCCUUGAAAUAAAGAAGCCAUGAAAGCU